GCCUGGGUGGCUCAGUGGUUGAGCAUCUGCCUUUAUCUCAGGGAGUGAUCCUGGCAUCGUGGGAUCAAGUCCCACAUAGGGCU
rnacentral:tRNA from 1 species